UACGGGGGGGGCAAGCGUUGUUCGGAAUUACUGGGCGUAAAGGGCGCGUAGGCGGUUUGCUAAGUUGGACGUGAAAACUCUGGGCUUAACCCAGAGCCUGCAUCCAAAACUGGCAAGCUAGAGUUUUGGAGGGGGAAGCGGAAUUCCUGGUGUAGCAGUGAAAUGCGUAGAUAUCAGGAGGAACACCAGUGGCGAAGGCGGCUCACUGGACCGGAACUGACGCUGAGGCGCGAAAGCGUGGGGAGCAAACAGG
rnacentral:rRNA from 1 species